rnacentral:rRNA from 1 species
GAUGAACGCUGGCGGCGUGCCUAAUACAUGCAAGUCGAGCGAACAGACGAGGAGCUUGCUCCUCUGACGUUAGCGGCGGACGGGUGAGUAACACGUGGAUAACCUACCUAUAAGACUGGGAUAACUUCGGGAAACCGGAGCUAAUACCGGAUAAUAUAUUGAACCGCAUGGUUCAAUAGUGAACGACGGUUUUGCUGUCACUUAUAGAUGGAUCCGCGCCGCAUUAGCUAGUUGGUAAGGUAACGGCUUACCAAGGCAACGAUGCGUAGCCGACCUGAGAGGGUGAUCGGCCACACUGAACUGGGACACGGUCCAGACUCCUACGGGAGGCAGCAGUAGGGAAACUUCCGCAAUGGGCGAAAGCCUGACGGAGCAACGCCGCGUGAGGGAUGAAGGUCUUCGGAUCGUAAAACUCUGUUAUUAGGGAAGAACAAAUGAGUAAGUAACUAUGCACGUCUUGACGGUACCUAAUCAGAAAGCCACGGCUAACUACGUG